AUACGUAGGGGGCGAGCGUUGUCCGGAAUUACUGGGCGUAAAGGGUGCGUAGGCGGCCUUUUAAGUCAGAUGUGAAAGGCUGCGGCUUAACCGCAGGACUGCAUUUGAAACUGGAAGGCUUGAGUGUCGGAGAGGGUAGUGGAAUUCCCAGUGUAGCGGUGAAAUGCGUAGAUAUUGGGAGGAACACCAGUGGCGAAGGCGACUACCUGGACGAUAUCUGACGCUGAGGCACGAAAGCUAGGGGAGCAAACAGGAUUAGAUACCCUGGUAGUCCUAGCCGUAAACGAUGGGUACUAGGUGUAGGUGGUUUCGAUACCAUCUGUGCCGCAGUUAACGCAAUAAGUACCCCGCCUGGGGAGUACGGUCGCAGGACUGAA
rnacentral:rRNA from 1 species